AACUAGCCCCGAUUGAGCGGCGUGUUUGAGCUCUUUUUCUUUUUCGGAGGCUGCCGGCGGCAAAGCCGCCGCAGCCUCCGAAAAAGAAAAAAAGCGAGUAGCGAUAGCGGGAAAUAGC
rnacentral:misc_RNA from 1 species